rnacentral:rRNA from 1 species
CCAAUAGCGUAUAUUAAAGUUGUUGCAGUUAAAAAGCUCGUAGUUGAAUUUCGGGGCCAGUAGGUCGGUCGUGCCACUGGUAUGAACUGGUCUCACUGGUCCCUCCCUCUUGAAGAACCGUGAUGCCAUUAAUUUGGUGUUGCGGGGAAACAGGACUGUUACUUUGAAAAAAUUAGAGUGCUUAAAGCAGGCUUACGCUUGAAUACAUUAGCAUGGAAUAACGAAAUAGGACGAUCGAUUCUAUUUUGUUGGUUUCUAGGAUCGACGUAAUGAUUAAUAGGGAUAGUUGGGAGCAUUAGUAUUCAAUUGUCAAAGGUGAAAUUCUUGUAUUUAUUGAAGACUAACUCCUGCGAAAGCAUUUGCCAAGGAUGUUUUCAUUAAUCAAGAACGAAAGUUAGGGGAUCGAAGACGAUCAGAUACCGUCGUAGUCUUAACCAUAAACUAUGCCGACUAGGGAUCGGAUGAAGUUAAUUUUUUAAUGACUCAUUCGGCGCCUUACG